CCCCGCACAAGCAGCGGAGCGUGUGGUUUAAUUCGAUGUUACACGAAGAACCUUACCAGGGUUUGACAUGCAAGUGGUAGGAAGCCGAAAGGGGACCGACCCUUCGGGGAGCUUGCACAGGUGCUGCAUGGCUGUCGUCAGCUCGUGUCGUGAGAUGUUCGGUUAAGUCCGCUAACGAGCGCAACCCUCGCUGUGUGUUAUAUGUGUCACACGGGACUGCCGGUCUUAAGCCGGAGGAAGGUGGGGAUGAUGUCAAGUCAGCAUGGCCUUUAUAUCCUGGGCUACACACACGCUACAAUGGCCAACACAAUAGGUUGCUAAGCCGCGAGGUGGCGCCAAUCCAUAAAGUUGGUCUCAGUUCAGAUUGUAGGCUGCAACCCGCCUGCAUGAAGAUGGAGUUGCUAGUAACCGCAGGUCAGCUAUACUGCGGUGAAUACGUUCCCGGGGCUU
rnacentral:rRNA from 1 species